rnacentral:tRNA from 1 species
GUGGAUAUAGCUCAAUUGGUCAGAGCGCUGGACUGUGGCUCCGGAGGUUGCGGGUUCGAGUCCCGUUAUCCACCCCA